rnacentral:rRNA from 1 species
AGAGUUUGAUCCUGGCUCAGAAUCAACGCUGGCGGCGUGCCUAACACAUGCAAGUCGAACGAGAAAGUCCGUAGCAAUACGGAUGAGUAAAGUGGCGCCCGGGUGAGUAACACGUGGAUAACCUGCCUUCGAGUGGGGAAUAACCCUGGGAAACCGGGGCUAAUACCGCAUAACACCUAGCGGCUGCGGCCGCAGGGUUAAAACCUGGAAACGGGGCUUGAAGAGGGGUCCGCGCCCGAUUAGCUAGUUGGUGAGGUAACGGCUCACCAAGGCUGUGAUCGGUAGCCGGCCUGAGAGGGCGGUCGGCCACACUGGAACUGACAUACGGUCCAGACUCCUACGGGAGGCAGCAGUGGGGAAUUUUGCGCAAUGGGGGAAACCCUGACGCAGCAACGCCGCGUGGAUGAUGAAGCCCCUUGGGGUGUAAAAUCCUUUCGGCAGGGACGAAAUUUGACGGUACCUAAGAGCCC